UUCAAGAUUGAUUGAAGAUUUGGAAUUUCCAAAUCGCAGGCUUCAAGAAUCAUCCAUCAAAUUUCUAAAUUGAGGUACGUGGGGUUUAUCCUAAAAAUGCAUGGGCUUGUUGAAAACACUCAAUUAUGAUUUAAAGAUUAUAAAGCAUGAAUUUGUUAAAGGGGUUUGAAAUCCAUGAUUUUUAUUAUACUUUAUGCAUGUUAUUGAUAUUGUUGUUUUG
rnacentral:lncRNA from 1 species